rnacentral:tRNA from 1 species
UGCUUGUUGAGGUCUAUAGCCCUGCAUGGGGCUCAUAACCUGAAGGUCGCAGGUUCAAAUCCUGCCCCCGCAACCA